rnacentral:rRNA from 1 species
UACGUAGGGGGCAAGCGUUGUCCGGAUUUAUUGGGCGUAAAGAGCGUGUAGGCGGCCCGGUAAGUCCGCUGUAAAAGUCAAAGGCUUAACCUUUGAAUGUCAGUGGAUACUGCCGGGCUAGAGUCCGGAAGAGGCGAGUGGAACUCCUGGUGUAGCGGUGGAAUGCGCAGAUAUCAGGAAGAACACCAACGGCGAAGGCAGCUCGCUAGGACGGUACUGACGCUGGAGACGCGAAAAGCGUGGGGGAGCGAAACAGG